rnacentral:rRNA from 1 species
AUUGAACGCUGGCGGCAUGCCUUACACAUGCAAGUCGAACGGUAACGCGGGGCAACCUGGCGACGAGUGGCGAACGGGUGAGUAAUAUAUCGGAACGUGCCCAAUAGUGGGGGAUAGCCCGGCGAAAGCCGGAUUAAUACCGCAUACGACCUGAGGGUGAAAGCGGGGGAUCGCAAGACCUCGCGCUAUUGGAGCGGCCGAUAUCAGAUUAGGUAGUUGGUGGGGUAAAGGCCUACCAAGCCUACGAUCUGUAGCUGGUCUGAGAGGACGACCAGCCACACUGGGACUGAGACACGGCCCAGACUCCUACGGGAGGCAGCAGUGGGGAAUUUUGGACAAUGGGGGGCAACCCUGAUCCAGCCAUUCCGCGUGAGUGAAGAAGGCCUUCGGGUUGUAAAGCUCUUUGUUCGGGGACGAAACGGUCUCACCUAAUACGUGAGACUACUGACGGUACCCGAAGAAUAAGCACCGGCUAACUACGUGCCAGCAGCCGCGGUAAU